UAGCCGUAAACUAUGCGCGUUAGGUGUACUGGUGACCACGAGUCACCGGGGUGCCGAAGGGAAACCGUGAAACGUGCCGCCUGGGAAGUACGGUCGCAAGGCUGAAACUUAAAGGAAUUGGCGGGGGGAGCACCACAACGGGUGGAGCCUGCGGUUUAAUUGGAUUCAACACCGGAAACUACACCAGGGAGGACUGUUACAUGAAACCCAGACUAAUGAUCUUGGUUGAUUUCUAGAGAGGAGGUGCAUGGCGUCAGUGACU
rnacentral:rRNA from 1 species